UGCAACUCGACUACGUGAAGCUGGAAUCGCUAGUAAUCGCAGAUCAGAAUGCUGCGGUGAAUACGUUCCCGGGUCUUGUACACACCGCCCGUCACACCAUGGGAGUCGGAAAUGCCCGAAGCCGGUGACCCAACCAAAAGGAGGGAGCCGUCGAAGGCAGGUCUGAUAACUGGGGUGAAGUCGUAACAAGGUAAC
rnacentral:rRNA from 1 species